GCAAGAUGCAAAAACGUUCUUGGAAUUCAAUGAGUACCAUUCCUAUUACUCUUUCUUUUCUCCUCUUCAUUUUUUAUUUUCAAAAAGUAUUUUCGGCUCCUAGUAGACACUUGUGUCGUCCAGAACAAAGGGAUGCACUUCUCGAGUUCAAAAACAAGUUUGAAAUUGGCAAUCCUUCUUCUUUUUGUAUUACUUCUCAUCCCAAAACGGAGUCAUGGGUGAAUAACAGCGACUGUUGUUAUUGGGACGGUAUCACAUGUGAUGCCAAAUCUAGAGAACUGGUCAGUCUAGACCUUUCUUGCAGCUGCCUCCAUGGCCGCAUUCACUCUAACAACAAACUUUUUAAUGUUCAAAACCUUCGCUUUCUAACCACUCUUGAUCUUUCAUGUAAUGAUUUAAGUGGUUGGAUUCCCUCUUCAUUUGGAAAUCUUUCUAGUCUUACAUAUCUCAGCCUCGCUCGUAACAACUUUGCUGGUGAAAUCCCAUCUUCACUUGGAAGUCUUUUGCAUCUCACCUCUCUCGACCUCUCUUUUAACAUUUUUAUUGGUGAAAUCCCAUUUUCAUUAGGAAAUCUUUCUCAUCUCACCUCUCUCGACCUCUCUAAUAAUAGUUUUGUUGGUGGAAUCCCAAUUUCACUUGGAACUCUUUCUCAUCUCACCUCUCUGAACCUUUAUGAUAACAAUUUUGUUGGUGAAAUCCCAAGGUCACUUGGAAAUCUUUCUCAUCUUACCGAUCUUGACCUCUCUUGUAACAAUUUUGUUGGUAAAAUCCCAUCGUCACUUGGAAGUCUUUCUCAUCUCGCUUUUUUGUACCUCUAUUAUAACAGUUUUGUUGGUGAAAUCCCAUCCUCACUAGGAGAUCUUUCCCAUAUCACCUCUCUCAGCCUCUCUUUUAACUAUUUUGUUGGUGAAAUCCCAUCAUCACUUGGAAAUCUUUCUCAUCUCAGAGAUCUCAGCCUUGCUCAUAACAACUUUGUUGGUGAAAUCCCGCCUUCUUUUGGUAGUUUGAGCAACUUAGCCCUGUUAGAUGUUAAGUCCAAUAAGCUUAGUGGUAGCUUUCCUCUUACACUACUAAAUCUGACAAAACUGUCAAUUUUAUCCCUCUCCAACAACCAGUUCGCAGGCAUGCUUCCUUCUUUUGUCACCAUUCCUUUGUUGGAUACUCUUAGUUUGGAAAAUAACCAACACAACGACACUCGAGAAUUUGGGAAUAUUUUUUCAUCACCUAAACUAGUAGAGUUAGACCUUUGCAAUAACAACUUCAUAGGGCCUGUUCCCAUAUCCAUUUUCAAAUCUGUGAACCUUGUGACGCUCGAUCUUGGUGAUAAUCACCUCAGCGGAGAACUGCCAGAGAUAUUUUUCAAUGGCAGUAAUCUAAGGUCACUCAAUGUUGGUCACAACCAACUGGUGGGAAAACUUCCGAGAUCUUUGGCUAGUUGUUCUUCUUUGGAGGUUCUAAACGUGGAACACAACAGAAUCAAUGACACUUUUCCAUUUUGGUUGGAAUCCUUACAAAAGCUACAAGUACUGGUUCUCCACUCUAAUGAGUUUCAUGGGUCGUUACAAUACAAUCCCAAGGUUGCUUCUUGGUUUCCUCAAUUGCGAAUCAUUGAUAUAUCAUAUAAUUCCUUCAAUGGAACCCUACCAUCUGAUUUCUUCAUAUAUUGGAGAGCAAUUUCCUCGGAGGAAAACCGUUCAGAAUUGAAAUACAUUGGAGAACAAUCGUAUUACAAAGACUCAUUGGUUUUAAUGAAUAAAGGAGUAGAGAUGAAAUACACGAGGAUCCUUUCACUCUUAACAGCCAUUGAUAUUUCUGGUAAUAGACUCCAAGGACCAAUCCCUAAAUCCAUUGGUCUAGUGAAGAAUCUUAUUGUGCUCAAUCUGUCAAGAAAUGGUUUCAUUGGCAACAUCCCUUCAUCUUUGACGAAUCUGAAGGAGCUCGAGUCACUAGACUUAUCGCAUAACAAGCUUUCAGGCAAAAUUCCACCUGCUCUCGGGGCCCUCACAAGUUUGUCUAAAGUUAUAUUUUCCCACAACCAGCUCGUCGGUCCAAUACCGCAUGGCACACAGUUUCAGACACAAGAUGCUUCGUCAUUUGAAGGUAACCUUGGACUUUGCGGUCGUCCUCUCAGUAUAAGUUGUGGAGACAUACAUACAGAGCAAACACAAGAGCCAGAAUCAGAUGAAGAAGAAGGAGUAUUCAGCUGGACUGCAGCUAGCAUAGCCUUUGCACCUGGUGUCAUCAUCGGAUUGAUUAUUGGGCACAUUAUGGUUACGAAAAAGCCUCAGUGGUUCAUCAAGAUUUCUGGCGUGACGAGGUAUGUUAAAUAUUCAAUCAACAAUUCCUUUUGUGCAAAUUAAUAAUGUACCAUUGAAACUGAUUCACCCUUUCCCCUUUGAUUUACAGUUUAACAAUUCGGUUUUUUACAAAACGGUGACAUCUUGCGAUCUCUGAAAUUGUCUCUCUCUCGAUUUGGUUCAAGGUUGCCUGAUUUGAUGUUUUGGUACUGAGAGUCACUUUUACCAAUUGGUUCAAGGUCUCUAUACCUUGUGCUUGAUGCGAAUGUGCCCGUGUGUGGUAGAAAUCAAAACUGGAAGAUUCUGCACGAGGCACAUUGCGGCAAGUGGUUGAGGUCACUCCUCUUUCUGAUGAGGUUUACUGAUUGUAAUCGGAUGCUGCUUGAUCAGCUAAUUAUUAACAUUGUUGUUCAGGUUGGGUUUUUAAAAUCUUGUCAGAUUUCAUGUUAUUGGCAGAUCUUGCACGAGGCCUUUUGUGGCUAGUGGUUGCGAUUACUCCUCCUUGUAAUGAGGCUUAGUGAUUGUAAUCGGAUAUUGCUUGAUCAGCUAAUUGUUUUCAUUGUGGUUUAGGUUGGGUUUUUAAAAUUCUACCAGAUCCCAUGUUGUUCCAAGGAUCUUCCUCGAAUACCUUAGUCUCAUCCGUCUUAAUGACAUAACUUCUUUCUCUAUUCUCAGCGCUGUGUUUUUCAAAAGUGUCGGAUAUUAAUCACUUAAUAUAUUUCUCGAAUUGCUUGGAACUUAUAUUUAUUCUCAAAUAUGGUGGCUAAGCUUUGGAGAAUUACGGUAUCUUUCUCGAUAUUAAUGCGAAUUGUAAUGGUUUUGUCUAUAUCUCCUUUCAUCAUAAUCCUUUUUAGCUAAUAGUUUAACAGAUAGUUUAGCCAAAUUGGCUCUUUUACGUUGUAAUAACUCAU